UAAUUCUAGAGCUAAUACAUGCUGUGCGCCUAACUUCAUGGAAAGGCGGUAUUUAUUAGAUAACAACCAAUAUUCCCUAGGUCUAUCGUGGUGAGUCAUAAUAACUGAUCGAAUUGCAAAGCCUUUGGCUGCGAUAAGUCAUUCAAGUUUCUGCCCCAUCAGCUGUAGAUGGUAGUGUAUUGGACUACCAUGGCUUUCACGGGUAACGGAGGAUUAGGGUUCGAUUCCGGAGAGGGAGCCUGAGAAACGGCUACCACAUCUAAGGAAGGCAGCAGGCGCGUAAAUUACCCAAUCCUGACUCAGGGAGGUAGUGACAAGAAAUAACGAGCAGUGACAUCUGUUACUGAAUU
rnacentral:rRNA from 1 species